rnacentral:tRNA from 1 species
GGGAAGGUGGCUCAGCGGUAGAGUGCUUGCCUUGCAUGCAUGAAGCCCUGGGUUCGAUUCCU